AGUACUUGACGAUCACGCGACCAGACAUUUCCUAUGCUGUUAACCGAGUCUGCCAGUAUCUGCAGUCACCCCGUGACACUCAUUGGUCUGCUGUUAAGCGGAUUUUGCACUAUAUUCGUUUCACGGUGGCUCAUGGUUUGCAUAUUCGGCCGUCUGACUCUGGUUGUCUUUCAGCAUAUUCUGAUGCAGACUGGGCUGGCAAUCCGGAUGACAGGCGAUCCACGGGGGGUUAUGCUGUCUUCUUUGGCUCUAACCUGAUUGCCUGGAGUGCUCGGAAACAGGCUACUGUCUCGCGUAGCAGUACUGAGGCUGAGUAUAAGGCUGUGGCCAAUGCCACAUCAGAGAUUAUCUGGGUACAGUCCUUGCUUCAGGAGUUGAGUAUACCCUAAUCACAGCCUCCUGUUCUUUGGUGUGAUAACAUCGGUGCUACAUACCUUUCUGCAAAUCCGGUAUUCCAUGCCCGAACGAAACACAUUGAAGUUGACUAUCACUUUGUGCGUGAACGUGUCUCUCAGAAGAAACUACAGAUCAAGUUUAUUUCUUCCAAGGAUCAACUUGCUGACAUCUUCACCAAGCCAUUGCCUUCGCC
rnacentral:rRNA from 1 species